rnacentral:lncRNA from 1 species
CACUUUAGCACUCAAACUUUAAUUUAUUGUAAUUUUUAGCUCGAGUUUUAAGGAAUUAUUAUAAUCAAGUAUCAUAAUCAAUUCGUUGACUAAAUUUUAACAUAUUUUUAGUAUAAAAGCAAGAUUUAAUUUAAUUAUUAACUCAUUAUCGGUCACACAUUACUAUUAUAAUAACUCUACGCUACCAAUGUAUUAAUAUUUUAUCAACUAAAUUAUAUUAUAAAAUAUAACUAUAAUAAUUUUUAAAAUUUAAAUAAAAAUUUAUGAUAAAUUAAAGUUUGAAAACUAAAAUAUCCCACGUCAUAGUUUGAGGACAAUUGGCCUGCAAAUUUUUUGGGGAAACUUCAAAUACCGCCGUGUGGUUUCGCACUUUUUCACUUUAGUAUUAUGUGGUUUAAAGUGUAUCAAGUUAGUACCCUUUGAUUUCGCGCUUUCUCGCUUUAGUACCAUGUGGUUUCAAUGUAUCAAGUUAGUACCCUAUGGUUUCAAUUUUCUUUUUUUAUUGUUCAUUUCGAAGUAUAUAAUUUAACGAAAUAUUAAACUACAUGGUACUAAAGUAAAAAAGUGCGAAAUCAUAGAAUACUAACUUGAUAUACUUGAAAUCAUAUGGUACUAAAAUAUAAAAGUGCGAAACAUAGGAUAGUAAUUUGAUAUACUUGAAAUCACACGGUACUAAUUAAAAUGAAAAAGUGUGAAACUGCGUGGGGGAAUUUGAAGUUUCCCCUUUUUUUAACCUUCCAGAGGACU